rnacentral:rRNA from 1 species
GUAGGGAAUAUUGGGCAAUGGAUGCAAGUCUGACCCAGCCAUCCCGCGUGCCGGAAGAAGGCCCUCAGGGUUGUAAACGGCUUUUGACGGUGAAGAAUCGACAGGAUGCGUCCUGUUUUGACGGUAGCCGUUGAAUAAGCACCGGCUAACUCCGUGCCAGCAGCCGCGGUAAUACGGAGGGUGCGAGCGUUGUCCGGAUUUAUUGGGUUUAAAGUGUGCGUAGGCUGGAAGGUCAGUCAGCGGUGAAAAGCUGUCGCUUAACGAUAGUAUUGCCGCAGAUACUUCCUUUCUUGGAUGAGGAGGAUGCCACUGGAACGGAUGGUGUAGCGGUGAAAUGCAUAGAUAUCAUCCAGAACACCGAUUGCGAAGGCAGGUGGCUGUACCUUAAUCGACGCUGAUGCACGAAAGCAUGGGGAGCAAACAGGAUUAGAUACCCUUGUAGUCC